AUUGCUCAUGUUGUUGAAAUAAAAAUGUUGAUUGGAAAUGAAAAGUACCAACUCACUUUUUUAGGUUAGGUUACCGACUUCUCAAUGAUUCCUGUGUUCUAAGCCUCUUUAGGGGCAAUACCUCAAUUUAAUUGAGAGAAUUAAGUUCUUAGAACUAAACAUGGAUGUUGACGCUAGUAGUAACUCAUAACAGGUUUUACCUUUAUUAAUGAAAAUGAUAUUAUUGAUAAAAUUGGUACUGGGGUUGCAAAAUCAACAGUUUACCCUGUGAUUAAAGAAUAUCAUGGUUUGAAAAACCGAAAAAGUUAUGAGUUGCAAACAAAUAUUAUUACAGAGCUUCAUGAUGGUAGGAAGGUUUUAAUAAUCAUUCAGUGGUGCCAAAAUUAUCUCGUUAUUAUAUAAAGUGAUAUAACAAAUUAAAUUAAAGUAGAUUUAAAGUUGGUCAUCUGUCAAAGUAUUGUACCUGAAACCUAAAAUGUUAACUUGUGUGUUUAGAAUUAACGAAAUGAUAAAUAAAUAUUAAAAUAAA